AAAAAAGACAAACCCGGGUUUCCUUGUCCAACGUUUGACCGUCCGUCCUAUUUAAAAAAAUUAUGAAAAGAUUAAAAAGAUAAGUCACGCAUAAAGUAUUAAUUAUGUUUUAUCAUCUAAUAACAAUGAAAAUACUAAUUAUAAAAAAAUUUCAUAUAAAACGGACAGUCAAACGUUGGCACGGAAACCCAGGGUUUGUCUUUUU
rnacentral:pre_miRNA from 1 species